rnacentral:rRNA from 1 species
GACGAACGCUGGCGGCGUGCUUAACACAUGCAAGUCGAGCGGUAAGGCCCUUCGGGGUACACGAGCGGCGAACGGGUGAGUAACACGUGGGUGACCUGCCCCCUACUCUGGGAUAAGCCUGGGAAACUGGGUCUAAUACCGGAUAUGACUACAUGUCGCAUGGUGUGUGGUGGAAAGUUUUUUCGGUGGGGGAUGGGCCCGCGGCCUAUCAGCUUGUUGGUGGGGUGAUGGCCUACCAAGGCGACGACGGGUAGCCGGCCUGAGAGGGCGACCGGCCACACUGGGACUGAGACACGGCCCAGACUCCUACGGGAGGCAGCAGUGGGGAAUAUUACGCAAUGGGCGGAAGCCUGACGCAGCGACGCCGCGUGGGGGAUGACGGCCUUCGGGUUGUAAACCUCUUUCGGCCCCGACGAAGCGUGAGUGACGGUAGGGGUAGAAGAAGCACCGGCCAACUACGUGCCAGCAGCCGCGGUAACAC